rnacentral:rRNA from 1 species
CAGUCGCCGCGGGAAUACGAAGGGUGCAAGCGUUAAUCGGAAUUACUGGGCGUAAAGCGUGCGUAGGCGGUUUGUUAAGUCUGCUGUGAAAUCCCCGGGCUCAACCUGGGAAUGGCAGUGGAUACUGGCAAGCUAGAGUGUGUCAGAGGAUGGUGGAAUUCCCGGUGUAGCGGUGAAAUGCGUAGAGAUCGGGAGGAACAUCAGUGGCGAAGGCGGCCAUCUGGGACAACACUGACGCUGAGGCACGAAAGCGUGGGGAGCAAACAGGAUUAGAUACCCGCGUAGUCCCUGUCUCUUAUAA